GUGCCUAACACAUGCAAGUCGAACGAGAAAGUGGAGCAAUCCAUGAGUACAGUGGCGUACGGGUGAGUAACACGUGACUAACCUACCCUCGAGCGGGGAAUAACCUCGGGAAACCGGGGCUAAUACCGCAUAACAUCUUCGGAUCAAAUGCGUAAGCAGCUUGAGGAGGGGGUCGCGGCCGAUUAGCUAGUUGGCGGGGUAACGGCCCACCAAGGCGAUGAUCGGUAGCCGGCCUGAGAGGGCGCACGGCCGCACUGGAACUGAAACACGGUCCAG
rnacentral:rRNA from 1 species